ACCCGUUGAUCCUGCGGGAGAUUGCUGCUAUUGGAAUCCGACUAAGCCAUGCAAGUUCAGGCCUUUCUUCGGAGAGACCGGCAUAAUGCUCAGUAGCACGUCGAUAAUCUACCAUAUGGUCAGGGAUAACCUCGGGAAACUGGGGAUAACACCUGAUAGGGGAAUAUAUCUGGAAUGAUUUUUCUUUGAAAGACUACGCCAUAUGAUGAGUCGGCGGCUGAUUAGCUCGUUGGCGGGGUAACGGCCCACCAAGGCUACGAUCAGUAGGGGCCUUGAGAGAGGGAGCCCCGAGAGGGUCACUGAAACACUGGACCCAGCCCUACGGGGUGCAGCAGGCGCGAAACCUUUACAAUGCACGAGAGUGUGAUAAGGGGAUUCCAAGUGCUUAAGCUUUGCUUAGGCUUUUGCCAAGAGUAAAUAUCUUGGCGAAUAAGUGGUGGGCAAGACUGGUGCCAGCAGCCGCGGUAACACCAGCGCCACGAGUGGGAAUCACAAUUAUUGGGCCUAAAGCGUUCGUAGCCGGUUGUUUAAAUCUUUUGUGAAAUCGUCAGGCUUAACCUGACGGACGGCAGGAGAGACUGGACAACUAGGGACCGGAAGGGGUCAGGAGUAUUCCAAGGGGAGCGGUAAAAUGUUAUAAUCCUUGGAGGACUACCUGUGGCGAAGGCGCCUGACCAGUACGGGUUCGACGGUGAGGAACGAAAGCUAGGGGAGCAAUCCGGAUUAGAUACCCGAGUAGUCCUAGCUGUAAACGCUGCGAGCAAGGUGUUGCACAUUUUACGUGAAUGUGCAGUGUCGAAACGAAGGUGUUAAGCUCGUCGCCUGGGGAGUACGGUCGCAAGACUGAAACUUAAAGGAAUUGGCGGGGGAGCACUACAAGGGGUGCGGCGUGCGGUUUAAUUGAACUAUACGCCGGAAAUCUCACCAAGAGCGACGGCAGGAUGAAAGUCAGGCUAAUGACCUUACUUAACAAGCCGAGAGGAGGUGCAUGGCCGCCGCCAGCUCGUGCCGCAAGGUGUCCAGUUAAGUCUGGUAACGAGCAAGACCUGCGCCCACAAUUGCCAGCCAGCCGAUUUAGGUGAUGGGGAACAAUGUGGGAACUGCUUUGGAAACAAAGAGGAAGGUGCAGGCAACGGUAGGUCUGUAUGCCCCGAAUCCCUUGGGCUACACGCGCGCAACAAUGGUAGGGACAAUGGGACGCAACUCUGAAAAGAGAAGCUAAACCUCAAAACCCUAUCCAAGUCCAGAUCGAGGAUUGUAACUCAUCCUCGUGACGAUGGAAUCCCUAGUAAUCAGACGUUACUAUCGUCUGGUGAAUAUGUCCCUGCUCCUUGCACACACCGCCCGUCAAACCACUCGAGCAGGGUUUAGGUGAGCUCUAACUAUUGAGGUUAGCUCGAACCUAAGCUCAGUGAGAUGGGUUAAGUCGUCACAAGGUA
rnacentral:rRNA from 1 species